GGCUUGGUAGCGCUGGGAGCGCGUCUGCCUCUGCUGCAGUAUCAACUAUCUUGUAAUGCAGAAGAAGCCCGUUCAACUCGGGCCUGAGCCA